GCUGAGUCAAAAACUUAAAAGUUUUAUAAUACACGUGAGGUCUCAGUUCAGCUGACUUCUAUGCAUGCACUGAUUGUGUUUACUUGUGUAUGAUAGGACAGAAUCUUCGUGUACUCUCGCUGCUGAACGAAAACAUCUACUUUACCUGCAAGCUGUGGUUAGUUUUCCACAAAAGCUCACUUCAUGACAUUUGGUGUUAUUUCAGAGGCUGGGACUGCUUCCCUGACACAAGCUUUUCCUCCUGAUCACACGUGUAAAAUUUCUUGUUCCUGGUUCUAUCCUUGAAGAUGCCAGAUCGCUUUGAAGGAAAGUAUGAGCAAAUGGGGAAGAAUACUUGAGACUCUGAACACCAAACAGGCUGCUAAGCCUCUCCUUGGAGUGCGUGAGUGGAGUGUGUGCAUAUGUGCAUUUCUAUUUCAGUUGGUUGGAAUGGGUUUUGCAACCUACCAGAGAGGAUUAUUAUUCCAGGACUGAAGUUGCUCAUUCAAUUCUCUGGGGAACACGGAGUGUUGCUGAGACUUACCAGAGUGAAUACAGCACAAUACAGCAAGGCACGCACCCCGCUGAGCUCACUCCAAGCAUUUGCUAAAAAGCAUGUAUCGUAGGAACAGAAAUGUGCUUUCAGGUCUCCCAGGGUCUGAUUAAAUUCAAAAAUGAGAGAGUUUCCCAUUGUGUUUUCCAUCAGCCCAUUUCAAGUGUGGGAGAACGGGGAUGCUGAAGCUUCAAAAUGUGUAAUUCUUAGAGGGCUCACAGCAACACCUUUCAUAUCCUAAAUUGUACAGCAUAUAUGAGUGUGAGCUAGAUGUUGAUUUAAAAUAGCAUUUUGUUCUGUAUGUGCUGUAAUUCUGAAUGCUGAACUCAAGUUUUCUUAGUCAGGUUUGUGUCAACCCGUGUGAUCAGGAGGUUCACAAUUGACCCUAGUUCUACAGGUAGAAAUCUUGCUAGCAAUUGAACAGUCUGGUAUAAAUGCCUUGAUUAUAGAGUAAGCAAUGAAAGACAGUGAGUACAACCAAUGGAACUGGGAAAAAAAGUGAUCCUAUUCUGUCAGUAAAACAAAGGUAUGGUACAGAAACGAAUGAAUACUAAAAUUCUGUAUUUGCUUAAGUAGUGCUGCAUAAGAGGCACACUUUAUUUAUACUGGCAGCAAUAAGCAAGGGAUUUACACUGAUAAAAGAAACUGUAUAUUAAAAUAUGCAUUAAAAGUACUGCAAAAUUUCUCCUAAAGGUCUUUUGACAGAGUAAUAAAAAGCAAGAAGCAGAAGCCAGUUAGAUGCAUUUUAGAGUCUAGUUUUACAGCUUUUUAACCAAGUAACUUUAAAUUUUUCUUUUUUUUUCUUUUUUUCUUCCCAUACACCAUCUGGUGUCACUACCGUUGAAGAACUGAAUUUUUAGAGGAAGUAGUAUCUUUUUUCUAAGGUUUAAAUUUUUUUUUUCCUUGCUCAUAAGUGCGCUACCAUGUUUACUGGAUUUCGGGUUUCAGAAAAAAGAGGAGUGUUAAGAGAAGGGAGACUUCUGCCAAACCAGUGUUUUUCCUGUUUUGAAAGGACAACACAAUACUACUGAAAGCUUAUGGGAAGAUGUAUGUUCUAAAUCAUCUGAAGUUUUCCUAAGGGGUGAAUUAUUAGGAGUCCCAGGAUACCAACAGACCUCCUCCAUUUUGUGUGCGCUUGUAGUAAACGGUAACUGGAGAAAAGGGUCAGGAAUGCUUGUCUUUCUUCAGGUCAUACUAAGCACUGUUCUGCAUUGCUCAAAGGAAUGUGCAUCAAGCCCAUGGCAUCAGCAUGAAGGAUGUAAGUAAGUAUGUCUUCCAGAGUGAGAAGUGGUGGUGCUUUAACAUCUGUGAUAUAUACUCUACUGUGUGUGUUGUUCCAUUGAUCAUUUGCCUUUGUUGCUGCCCAACUACUUAUGCUCUAU